AAGGAUAGAGGCGCAAAGACCAUUAGUACACAAUUCGAGGAGAAUGAGGUCCGUUGACAAUUGUCGAAAGGGGAAUUUGCCGAAGCUACAAGAUGCUCAUUUAAUCUUGAAGCUGGUUCUGUUGUUGAAUAAAUGCAGAACUGUCAUAUAGGUUUUACUAUAUGGAGGGCUAUCUU
rnacentral:ncRNA from 1 species